GGGGCUUUACUGGUUUCGACUUGGUGGCGAAAGCUGCCCGUUGAUGCAGGUCGAGAGGGAGUCAACUCUCGGAAAUAAAGGCUCGCUUAAAUAUAGAUGCAAACAACAUCGUUGCUUUUUCUCGUAAGCAAGCUGUAGUAGCUGCCUAAUUACCUCUUACAGGUUCGAGAGCUUCUAGUGUGACUCCGUUAAGCAUUAGAGGCAACCCCCAACGGAUGCGUUAGUUAGUUCCCUCUGGUGGACUUUCUAACUAAGACCUUACCAGAGCAUCCUAGCGUUCGGGAUAAUGAACGCUUCCCGCCUUGAGGAUCAGAAAGGCUAAACCUGUGAAUGAUGCGGGGGUAAUUACCCAUUAAGGACAUGGGUUCGACUCCCAUAAGCUCCA
rnacentral:tmRNA from 1 species